AGUUGGUGGGGUAAAGGCCUACCAAGGCGACGAUCAGUAGCCGGACUGAGAGGUUGAACGGCCACAUUGGGACUGAGAUACGGCCCAGACUCCUACGGAAGGCAGCAG
rnacentral:rRNA from 1 species